UCUUGUAAUUGAAACCACUUUCCUGUGGAGCAUCAAAAUUCUUGUUUCUCUGUGUUAAGUACAGAGAAUAAAGAAUCAGGAUGAUGCCCCACAACAUUUGCCUAUGUAUUAGAAAGCCAUCCUGAGGUACAUGGAAAGAAAUCGUGAUUUAUCUGGCACCAAGGGAUGAUGGAAAAAGAGAUAAAUGGAAAUACAAACUGUGUGCAGUUUCUGCUUUGAACUGUAAACAUCAAUGCGGACUUUUUGACAGAUGGAGUGGUUCUAUUUUGUUGGUUUUCAGAACUGAGAUCAUAAUUAAGAAGGGUGCUUGGGAUAUACGUAUUGUGCCACUAAAGGUGAAAUUCUUGGACUAGUGCAAAACAGACCAGAGGGAAAGCAUUUGCCAAGAAUGUUUUCAUUAAUCAAGAAAGAAAGUCGCAGGUUUGAAGAUGAUCAGAUACAAUCCUAGCUCUGACCACAAUCAAUGCCGACUGGAGAUGCAGUGGUGGUGUUAUAGGGGCAGCUUCCUGAAACCUAAAGUGUUUGUGU
rnacentral:ncRNA from 1 species